rnacentral:misc_RNA from 1 species
UUUCCGUAGGUGAACCUGCGGAAGGAUCAUUCAUAAUAAAGUGUUUUUGGCACUUUUUAAAAAUCCAUAUCCACCUUGUGUGCAAUGUUAGAUCUCGUCAAUCUUGGCGAGAUUUUUAUACAUCAACUCAUUCUUUAACUAAUUUGUCUGAAAAAUAUUAUGAAUACCUAAUUCAAAAUACAACUUUCAACAACGGAUCUCUUGGCUCUC